rnacentral:SRP_RNA from 1 species
GGUGAGUGCAGUGGCGCGUGCCUAUAGUCCAAGCUGCUCAGGAGGCUGAGGUGGGAGGAUCCCUUGAGCCCAGGAGUUCUGGGCUGUAGUGCGCUAUGCCAAUUAGGUGUCCGCGCUAAUCUGGCAUCAAUAUGGUGACCUCCCGGGAUCAGGGGACCACCAGUUUGCCUACAGAGGAGUGAACCGGCCCAGGUCGGACACGGAGCAGGUCAGAACUCCCGUGAUGAUCAGUAGUGGGAUCAUGCCUGUGAAUAGCUGCUGCACUCCAGUCUGGGCAACGUAGCGAGACCCUGUCUCU